GAUGAACGCUGGCGGCGUGCCUAAUACAUGCAAGUCGAGCGAACAGAUGAGGAGCUUGCUCCUCCGACGUUAGCGGCGGACGGGUGAGUAACACGUGGAUAACCUACCUAUAAGACUGGGAUAACUUCGGGAAACCGGAGCUAAUACCGGAUAAUAUAUUGAACCGCAUGGUUCAAUAGUGAAAGACGGUUUUGCCGUCACUUAUAGAUGGAUCCGCGCCGCAUUAGCUAGUUGGUAAGGUAACGGCUUACCAAGGCAACGAUGCGUAGCCGACCUGAGAGGGUGAUCGGCCACACUGGAACUGAGACACGGUCCAGACUCCUCCGGGAGGCAGCAGUAGGGAAUCUUCCGCAAUGGGCGAAAGCCUGACGGAGCAACGCCGCGUGAGUGAUGAAGGUCUUCGGAUCGUAAAACUCUGUUAUUAGGGAAGAACAAAUGUGUAAGUAACUAUGCACGUCUUGACGGUACCUAAUCAGAAAGCCACGGCUAACUACGUG
rnacentral:rRNA from 1 species